CUGCCCAUAUAAACAGGGCAGUUCUGAUGCUGAGGGGUGAGGCAACAACAUUGCCUGGCCAGAGGGUUGCUGGUGUCAUCUGGAGCUUGAAAAGCAUUACUGUACAUCUCGCUACAGAGACAAACAUGUGCACUUCAGGCAAAUAGUGAUGGACAUGAAACUUCAACAGAGCAGCCAAAGAAACAGCCUGCCAAGCUAACAGAAGCUGCCUACAGCCAAGUGUGUUCUUCUCUGCAGAAUGUUCAUUUGAAAUGGGGCUAGAAGAGCCCAGGGGAGUUAUCUUUUGGUGGCUCAUCAAGCCACCAAAAAGCUUGAAGUGCUCCUAGGUGCUCAAAGUGUCCCCACAAGGCAAGCAAAGCUUGUAGUAAAGCACCUGUCAGAACUACAGAGCAGAGUUCCUUGGGAUUUAUGAAGAGAAUCAGAAAGGAAGAAAAGUGCUAGGUAACCAAUACUCUGAUGCCAUACUAUUCUCCAAAUGUAUUUAUACUUGGAAGCCUCUAAAACUGGCCAGAAGCCAACCAAAUAGCUUGGACACAUCGCAGUCCAAUAUUAAACAAAAUAUCUGAGGUCAGAUUCCUUUCUGGAUAUA